GAUGAACGCUGGCGGCGUGCCUAAUACAUGCAAGUCGAGCGAACGGACGAGAAGCUUGCUUCUCUGAUGUUAGCGGCGGACGGGUGAGUAACACGUGGAUAACCUACCUAUAAGACUGGGAUAACUUCGGGAAACCGGAGCUAAUACCGGAUAAUAUUUUGAACCGCAUGGUUCAAAAGUGAAAGACGGUCUUGCUGUCACUUAUAGAUGGAUCCGCGCUGCAUUAGCUAGUUGGUAAGGUAACGGCUUACCAAGGCAACGAUGCAUAGCCGACCUGAGAGGGUGAUCGGCCACACUGGAACUGAGACACGGUCCAGACUCCUACGGGAGGCAGCAGUAGGGAAUCUUCCGCAAUGGGCGAAAGCCUGACGGAGCAACGCCGCGUGAGUGAUGAAGGUCUUCGGAUCGUAAAACUCUGUUAUUAGGGAAGAACAUAUGUGUAAGUAACUGUGCACAUCUUGACGGUACCUAUUCAGAAAGCCACGGCUAACUACGUG
rnacentral:rRNA from 1 species